GGGCGGUUCGCCGCCGACGACGUCGCGAGAAGUCCACUGAACCUUAUCAUUUAGAGGAAAGAGAAGUCGUAACAAAGUUUCCGUAAGUGAACCUGCGGAAGGAUCA
rnacentral:rRNA from 1 species